UACAGCCACAUCACGUUGAAUCACCGGUUCCCGUACGAUCACCGAAGUUAAGCAACGUCGAACCUGGUCAGUACCUAGAUGGGUAACCGCUUGAGAGUACCGAG